AGGAGGUGGGCUACUACAGGGACAUGAGCUGCCUAACUGCCAUCCUCCUCCUGUAUCUGCCAGAGGAAGACAACUUCUGGGCACUGGAUCAGCGGAUGGCUGAGGAGAGGCACUCCCUGCAGG
rnacentral:lncRNA from 1 species